rnacentral:lncRNA from 1 species
CUCGUAUUUUAUUUUUCAAUUCUUUCAUUUAGUUUAUCUUUUAAUCACAUAAUGGUGCUUUUUCUGUAUAAUCCAUACAACAUGUGUCAUUUUGUCACGACCAGCUGUAGCUUUAGAAAAUGCGCGGCGACCUAUUAUUUUUAUGAUAUCUUUUAACAUAUUAUAUAUCAAUAGAUACUACGUUUUGGCAAAGACUGAACAAUUUCGGUCAUUUUUAAUUUAUACUCCCAUACCACCUUAAGAAGGAGUGCUGCACUGUAUACUUGUUUUUUUCACAGUCGAUCUCUCAUUGUUUGUUGAGUGAGUAUAUAUAUCAAAACCAAACCAAUUAUAUUUUACAAAAUUCAGUGUAGUUAGCUAAAAAACAUAAAAGAUCAUAAAAGUACUUCAAUCAUAAAUAUUUUACCAUAUCGCAAAUGAUUUAUUUCUAUAAAUCUAUAUAUAUAUAUAUAUAU